CCUACGGGAGGCAGCAGUGAGGAAUAUUGGUCAAUGGGCGCAAGCCUGAACCAGCCAAGUCGCGUGAGGGAUGACGGUCCUAUGGAUUGUAAACCUCUUUUGUCGGGGAGCAAGGCCCGCCACGUGUGGCGGGAAGGAGAGUACCCGAAGAAAAAGCAUCGGCUAACUCCGGGCCAGCAGCCGCGGUAAUACGGAGGAUGCGAGCGUUAUCCGGGUUUAUUGGGUUUAAAGGGUGCGUAGGCGGAAGGUUAAGUCAGCGGUAAAAUGUCGGUGCUCAACACCGGCCUGCCGUUGAAACUGGUCUUCUUGAGUGAGCGAGAAGUAUGCGGAAUGCGUGGUGUAGCGGUGAAAUGCAUAGAUAUCACGCAGAACUCCGAUUGCGAAGGCAGCAUACCGGCGCUCAACUGACGCUGAGGCACGAAAGCGUGGGGAUCGAACAGGAUUAGAUACCCUAGUAGUC
rnacentral:rRNA from 1 species